CAGGGAGACGAGCGAAGGAGUAGGAAGCCGAUCCACGCUGACCAAUUUUUUUCUUUAAACUAAAAUAAGUUGAUGCUGAGUCUACUUGCUUUGUUUGUGUAAAGCACCGUACAUUGGACCAGAGGAAUCCAGUCUCUUUGGACCCGGUUGGUGAACUUUGAAGUACUCCAAAAGAGAUUCUGGCUGCUAUCCAGAAGAGGGCCUGUCCUCCCGCGUUGACUCCAGUUCCUGCCUCGUGUGCGUCGGCUGUGCUGACCUGCUAACCACGUGUGGAGCCACUGUAACAUCUACUGCUCUCCAAGUUGAAGGAUUCGUGAGACAGAAGACAGAGCGGAGUGGGACAGUAGAGAUCUGUGGGAAAGGGUACAAGAACGGAAACAGGGGAAAUGUGGCUGAAGAAUCAUUAGAUUCCAAUCCAAUUGUAGCCUCCAGAGGGAGAGCGGAGUAGAGGAGGAGCAGGAAAUGAGGAGGGGAACAUCAAACACAACAGGAACCCACAGAGUGCUCCGUGUCCUUGUGUGCAGCUGAAGCUCUGCUCAAGGGAACGAGGGCUCCGUGCAUUAUUCCUGGUGUUCUGUUUUGCUGAAAUCAAGGCCGUUCAUUGGAGAGGGACUGCAGGUUUAGGGCCAUGUGUGCAAACACAUAAAAGGAAAGAAACUGCAGACGGAGAAGAUGGACCUGCAGGAAGAACUGAAAAUCAUGCUGCGCUGUGAUAUGAGGGAGCGGUUUGUUCCCCGUAACAAGGAGUUAGGGAAGUCAUUUGAAACCGGUGGAGAGCUGCACGUGGGGUACAGUCUUUAAUUGAGGUAAGGAAAAUGUGCAUCAGUAGUGUUGUGAAGAGCAGAGGGCGAUCUUCAGAGGCCAAUUAAUUUGGAAUACAAAACAGUGGUGCAAUCUGCUCAGGUUUCCGCCCGGGUCCACGGCUACCUCGCACCAGCUCUGUCAUGAAGGCAUUCAAGAUCAAAUUAAUUUAAAUAGCAGCCCAAGCAGCACCCCCAACUCCCAAAGCGCUCCCACCGCUUCUCUUUUGUCCCCUUAGCUGCAACUCUGAACUCUAGAAAUCAAAAUAGCUCCCUGCACGACAAAAGCUACCACACACUGUCUCUCCAUCACUACCUCUCACAGAGAAACCCACUUUGUGUCUCUCAACUUAAAUAAAAAUAGCAUGACUCCUCAGACUGCUGUCUGUGUGUCCAGCAGGGAGAAAAGCACCUAUUCCUGGAUCUGCUCAACCGACUCCAUCUCUGCACUGACACACAAAGGGAAUCACCACACUUGUGCACUCCAGAGGACAGCAGCCGUACACUGGUGCUGCUGCUGCUUGGUCAUUUUUUAUGAUUUCGCAGCAUUUGAGCAGGGUGACUUUAACAUGACAAAUUAUGGCCAGGGAGAUCCUUAAAAUACCUUCUGGAUUUGCACACACUUUCUUUCUUGGACGUAUGUUUAUGGAUUUUCCAUAGUCGUACGAGCCUCCCGCUUUAAUCUAGUCAAAGCCAUGAUAAAUGCAGUGCACCUGUGAGGUUGAAAAUCUGGAAAAGAAAAUUAUGAUGCAUGUCUCUGCUGUUGAAGGCUGAGGUAAGGGAGAGAGAUAAGGAAAAGAGGAGAAACCUAAUUGUGGAAGAGGAGAGGGUUGCAGAAGUGAGGUCCUCAGGAAGAUGGUUAAUUUAUAAGACCUGUGGUGGAGGUAAUGUGACAGGCCGAGUAAUGGUUAGAAGUAGUUUGAAGGAUUCUUUUGUCUUUUUGGUCACACAGUUCGGUUUCCUCUUUUACUGUCUCUCUUGCACAGAAGACAUUCUUGUUUUUUCCCUCUCUAGAUAAAUCAGACCUAAUCAAUGUGCCCGUAUAGUAUUUGCCUUCUAAUAAAGGAUGUGGGUUUCACUUGUGUCCUGUUUGCGCUACAGCUUGAGGUCAUUUACCUGCAGAAACAGAAGGAGAACAAAGGGCAGGAUUCAAAAAUUCUGCAUUAGAAUUCUGUUCAACUUUACAGCUUUAUUCUCUGCUUAACCUCCAUAUUUAUUCAUGAUAAACCUGACAACAAACCCUCUGUUUCUUUGUUGAAGUCACCCCUGCUCUCCUUCCCUUUUCUCCCCUUUCUUCUGCCGCGCUCUAUCUGUACUUCAUUUCCAAUGCAGGGAGCAUAGCCGAAGCCAUAGACUUGUGCGUGGAAACACCCAGCAGACAAGAAAAAUGACGGCCGGCGCAAUCUCAUUUUCUGAGGGGCUGCAAGUCAGGCAGGAAAUGGCUAUUAUUCCAUCGACACUGUCGGUAUUAAGUUAUUUCCUUCUCUAAAUACGAGAACAUUCAUGAAUAUCUAUUGAGUUCCAGGUGCAAGCGCAAGAGGUUUUGUCGCCACACACUCGGAUGAUUGCAGCCCUAUAUUCUCCCUGCUGCACCCUCACUUCUGAGAUUGAAGUGAAAGACAAUGGUAGUGGAAAUUGGCUAAUAAAUCCAGAGGAGGCAAAGGGCUGUUUGAGCAAUACCGCAAGCUCGUGCAUGCUUUUUAAGUAGGAUAAAAACUCCUGGUUUCCUCUCAACCUCAUCCUUUUCUCGAGGAGGUGACUGGGGCUAAGAGGCUAAAUCUCCAUCAAAAGGCCCACGCCACUUUGCUUUUGUUGGUAGGAAGACAGCUUUGCAAUGCCAUCACAAGCAUGCAGGACAUAUCAGCAUUUGUCCAUAUUUCAGUGGAGGGAGAUGAUGCAUUUCUGCUUAUGCAUAUGCUAGGAACAGUAGAACGGAACGGGGAGAGCUCAUGACAGAACGAAGAUCCAUUUGCAUUUGUUCGCCAUGUGCUUUUCUCACCUUGCUGUGUUUAUCAUGAGUCUGAGCCAUAUAGCUGCCAGUCAUGCGCAUAGAGAGGGAGGUGAAAGGACAGAGAAGAAAUAGAACAAAAAAAAACUGCAGGAUGAUGAGCAGUGGAAAACCUUAGAUUUGAGUGACCUACUGCCUUCCAUCGCACGGUGACUCUGAAGAAAAAGAGAGAGCAGGAGCUCCGCUUACAUGUGUCCAGUUCUCAUGGAGCGGCUCACAGUGGAGAGGAGACGGGGCAGAAUUGAUUGAAGGCGGUGGACCAUAAAUGAAAGCAUUGAUUUUGGGGUCACAGUUGCAGGAGGAGGUCCUGAAAUAAAUUGAAAUAAACAUAUCAAUACAUCAAGUAUAUUACACUAUGAGCACACAUGCACUCUCA